CCUGAACGCUGGCGGCGUGGCUAAGACAUGCAAGUCGUACGGGUGUAGCAAUACACCAGUGGCGCACGGGUGAGUAAUGUAUCGCUAACGUACCCCGAAGUCUGGGAUAGCUGAGGGAAACUUCAGGUAAUACCAGAUGACAUCACUGAGAAGCAUUUCUCGGUGCUCAAAGUAGCAAUACGCUUUGGGAGCGGGUGAUAUCGUAUCAGCUUGUUGGUGAGGUAACGGCUCACCAAGGCGACGACGCGUAGCUGGUCUGAGAGGACGGCCAGCCACAUUGGGACUGAGACACUGCCCAGACUCCUACGGGGGGCUGCAGUAACGAAUCUUCCGCAAUGCACGAAAGUGUGACGGAGCGACGCCGCGUGUGGGACGAAGUUCUUCGGAAUGUAAACCACUGUCAGGGGUUAGAAAGUUCUGAUCAACCCCAGAGGAAGGCACGGCUAACUCUGUGCCAGCAGCCGCGGUAAGACAGAGGUGCCGAGCGUUAAGCGGAAUCACUGGGCUUAAAGCGUGUGUAGGCGGACGGGUAAGUACCUUGUGA
rnacentral:rRNA from 1 species